rnacentral:rRNA from 1 species
CCUACGGGUGGCUGCAGUGGGGAAUAUUGGACAAUGGGCGCAAGCCUGAUCCAGCAAUGCCGCGUGCAUGAAGAAGGUCUUCGGAUUGUAAAGUCCUUUCGGCGGGGACGAUGAUGACGGUACCCGCAGAAGAAGCCCCGGCUAACUUCGUGCCAGCAGCCGCGGUAAUACGAAGGGGGCUAGCGUUACUCGGAAUUACUGGGCGUAAAGGGCGCGUAGGCGGCGACGACAGUCAGGCGUGAAAUUCCUGGGCUUAACCUGGGGGCUGCGCUUGAUACAUCGUUGCUAGAGGACGGAAGAGGGUCGUGGAAUUCCCAGUGUAGAGGUGAAAUUCGUAGAUAUUGGGAAGAACACCGGUGGCGAAGGCGGCGACCUGGUCCGUUACUGACGCUGAGGCGCGACAGCGUGGGGAGCAAACAGGAUUAGAUACCCGAGUAGUC